AUUUAUAUAGUUUAAAUAAAACAUUUUAUUUUCAUUAAAAAAAAGAUUUUUAAUCAAUCUAUAAAUA
rnacentral:tRNA from 1 species